rnacentral:tRNA from 1 species
UGUUAACUUGGCAGAUUAAUUGUAUCAAAUUUAGAAUUUGAAGAUGGGAUACCAGUUAGUAG